GACGAACGCUGGCGGCGUGCCUAAUACAUGCAAGUCGAGCGGACUUGAAGGAGUGCUUGCACUCCUGAGAGUUAGCGGCGGACGGGUGAGUAACACGUAGGCAACCUGCCCUCAAGACUGGGAUAACUACCGGAAACGGUAGCUAAUACCGGAUAAUUUAUUACAUAGCAUUAUGUGAUAAUGAAAGACGGAGCAAUCUGUCACUUGGGGAUGGGCCUGCGGCGCAUUAGCUAGUUGGUGGGGUAACGGCCCACCAAGGCGACGAUGCGUAGCCGACCUGAGAGGGUGAACGGCCACACUGGGACUGAGACACGGCCCAGACUCCUACGGGAGGCAGCAGUAGGGAAUCUUCCGCAAUGGGCGAAAGCCUGACGGAGCAACGCCGCGUGAGUGAUGAAGGUUUUCGGAUCGUAAAGCUCUGUUGCCAAGGAAGAACGUCUCAUAGAGUAACUGCUGUGAGAGUGACGGUACUUGGGAAGAAAGCCCCGGCUAACUACGUG
rnacentral:rRNA from 1 species